AGCGCUGUUUCAGCCGUGGAAUGGACAAAUGGGAGAGGCAGCUUGAUGGAUGAGGUCUCCAGGACUCUAAACAAAUCCAAAUCAUAUUAUGGGAUAUCAUCUACUGUUAAAUUCUGCUCCGUACUUGUAAUAUUUUUAUUUUUAUACUGUAUUGAGGAUUUGUUCUGUUCUGUGUAUUGUAUA